AGACAGGUGCCCCGUUUGGGGCUUAAUAGGGAAGACCGGUGCAACGCCGGCGCGGUCCCGCCACUGUAAUGAGGAGCGAACCCGCAUAAAUGCCACUGGGACGACAGUCUUGGGAAGGUGCGGUCAAGCCAUGAUCCAGAGCCAGGAGAACUGCCUGUCU
rnacentral:ncRNA from 1 species